CUAUUCUUGAGGAAAUUACAGUCCAGGUGGGGAAAUAGGACAGGCACAGUAAUACCUCUGAUGCUUGAACUUCGGUUAUAAUUCAGAUGUUAUGCUCAGUGUUCUAUUUAAACAAUGCUAUUUAUCUUCACAACUCCUAUGAGGAGACGCAGGUUGGAUUCCUGGGUUGGGAAGAUCCCCUGGACAAGGACAUGGCAACCCACUGCAGUAUUCUUGCCUGGAAGAGGAGCCGGGUGGGCUACAGCCCAUGAGAUUGCAGAGAGUCGGACGUGACCGAGCGACUAAACAGCAACAAACCUACACAUCGGAUUUUCUCUCCCACUCUCACUGUGUGAGAGACUAACGCAUUUGCGUGAGAUUCUGAGGAGCAGAGGCUGCUCCAGGAGACACCACAUCAGGAUGAGAACAUUUCAGAUCAGGGCAAAGAUUGCCUGCUCAAAGUCAUGCAGCCCCUGCCAGAGACCCAGACCCAGCUCCUGCCCUCUGCCCCACCAGACCCGUGGCUGUCCCUCUGUCCUGCUGUCUGCUGUCUGUCUGCUGUGCUCCUGGUACCCACAUGCGGGUCAGCUCUCUGUCCACAGAGACCCAUCCCCACGAGUCCUCUGAGAUGCCACUGCUGACCAGUAUGCCAGGGGCAGGAUGUCUAUGAUAAAACAGACUUGUUAACUUCUGACACCCGGUCAAUGAUCUGGUGACUAUAUAGAAUGAGCUCGUGGAACAGAAGAAACUUUAUCUGAUUAGAUGAGGGGAAGGAGUGCUUUUAAGAAGAGUGGAACAAUCUCUAAGGUAGGAAGUUGCCUCUGAUAAAGGAACUCCAAAGAGAUACAACAGAGCAACUUCCCAACAACACAGAUCACAGAAGGCCUCUUAAAUAGGACUAGAAGUUGAAAUUUUCGUUUUAAAUGUUUAAUUUUGUAUUGGGGGUAUAACUGAUUAAAAAUGUGAUAGUUUCAGGUGGACAGCAAAGGAACUCAGCCAUAUGUAUACAUGUAUCCAUUUCCCCCCAAACUUGCCUCUCCUCCAGGCAGCCAAUAAUACUACUGAUACCAUAAUACUAAUACGACUGAUACCAUAAUACUAAUAAUACCAUAAUACUGAGCAGAGUUCCCU
ensembl:lncRNA